AUUUAAAAGAUAUGCAUAAAAUUGUGUAAGGCAGAAACCUACCAACCUUCCUUUGAAAAGAGGAGGAGUCAAAUACCCUGCCAGGGUUGGGACCCGCCUGCAGUCCCUCUCAGGAACUUCCUGUUGUCACCACACCUCUGGAUUAGCUAUCUGAGCUCUCAACAAAGCCCUCAGUGAAACUCUUAAGGCUCUGCCCAGGGGAUCACUCUUCUUGUGAAUGUGACACACACUCUCUCCAGUUUCCAUAUGCUGAGAUUAUACUUCUUCAUCAGUUUGAUGUGCUUGGUCAAAUCAGACCCAGAUGAAACAUGUCCUUCAUUCACCAGACUGAGCUUUCACAGUGCAGUGGUUGGUACAGGACUAAAUGUGAAGUUGAUGCUCUACACAAGAAAAAACCAGACCUGUGCACAAGUCAUCAACUCCACAGUUUUUGGGAACUUGAACAUGACCAAGAAAACCACCUUCAUUGUCCAUGGAUUCAGGCCUACAGGCUCCCCUCCAGUUUGGAUGGAGGAUUUAGUACAGGGUUUGCUCAAUGUAGAAGACAUGAAUGUGGUUAUUGUUGAUUGGAAUCGAGGAGCUACAACUGUAAUAUACAACCACGCCUCCAGUAAGACAAGAAAGGUCGCAAAUGUCUUGAAGGAAUUUAUCGACCAGAUGUUGGUAAAAGGAGCUUCUCUUGACAACAUUUAUAUCAUUGGAGUAAGUCUAGGAGCCCACAUAGCUGGGUUUGUUGGAAAGAUGUACAAUGGGCAGCUGGGGAGAAUUACAGGUCUUGACCCUGCGGGCCCUUUAUUCAAUGGGAGACCUCCUGAGGACAGAUUAGAUCCUGGUGAUGCACAGUUCGUUGACGUCAUCCAUUCUGACAUUGACGCACUGGGCUACAGGGAGCCUUUAGGAAACAUAGACUUCUACCCAAAUGGAGGACUGGAUCAACCUGGUUGCCCCAAGACAAUAUUGGGAGGAUUGAAGUAUUUUAAGUGUGACCACCAGAGGUCUGUGUACCUGUACCUUUCUUCUCUGAGAGAGAACUGUUCCAUUACCGCAUAUCCCUGUGACUCCUACCGGGAUUAUAGGAACGGCAAGUGUGUCAACUGUGGCAUACCACAAAAGGAGUCCUGUCCCCUUCUGGGCUAUUAUGCUGAUAAUUGGAAAGAGUAUUUAAAGCAGAGAAACCCUCCUAUGACUAAAGCGUUCUUCGACACAGCUGAGGAGAAACCAUACUGCAUAUAUCAUUACUUUGUGGACAUUAUAACUUGGAAUAAGAACAUAAGAAGAGGCUCCAUUACAAUCAAAUUGAAAGAUAAAGCUGGGAAUAUCACAGAAUCCAAAAUCAAUCAUGAACCUGCAAUAUUUCAGAAAUACCACCAAGUGAGUCUGCUUGCAAGAUUUAAUCAAGACUUGGAUAAAGUGUCAACUAUUUCCUUGGUGUUCUCUACAGGAUCUGUAAUAGGCCCCAAAUACAAGCUCAGGGUUCUUCGCAUGAAGUUAAGGUCACUUGCCCAUCCAGAGAGGCCCCAGUUGUGUCGGUAUGAUCUUGUACUGAUGGAAAACAUUGAAAACGUCUUCCAACCUAUCCUGUGCCCCAAGCUGCAGAUGUAACUGUUGUUCGGACACGCGGGCACCAGUGACAUCAAGAAAACUACAACUCCAGGCUUUUGUAAAGCGUCACUUCACCUUCUCAAGGCACAAAAAAAACUCCAUGAGGACAUACCUGUGUGGCACGUCCUGUACGGAUUCCUACACGUAUACGGAGCCUGCACCUGGGAAGGAAUGAGGCUCAGAGAUGCUCCUGCCCACUUGGGUGGGUAUCUUCUCACCCUUCGUCCCUCUUCCCCAUUUCUUCAGCAAUUGUGCACAGAGAAAUCAGGAUGUCAGUGGGCCCUGAUUUCUUUUUUAGAGGUUUACCAGUCCCAUAUCUUGAUCAGCACAGCCAUUUCUUUGUCCUCUUUCCCUCGCCUGGUAGGCAGGGGGCCAGAACAACAGCGAGAAAAUGGAAGAGCAUUGUUGUCACUUAUGAACUCCUCACGCAGGGGGGCUCUCUCAGCUUCUUCUCUAGGGUCUCCUCGCACUGGUACCUGGCUCACUGGGGAAUGGGUGAAUGGAUGGACAAAUGGAUGAAUGAAUGAAUAAAGGAAGGAAGUUUGUUUACUGGAGGGAGAUGAAUCUCAAUGAGCCUCACAUGGUGGUGAUCCAGAGAAGUGAAGGCGGUUCCAGGGGUGGUACUGGCUUCGCAGGUUCUCCCGAGGCCCCUGAACUUGCCACUCUCCCUUGCUAUCCUUGCCUCUCCUCCCUCUUCUUUGUCAGAGUCUCUAUCUGAAUCCCAAAUCCUAGAUACAAUUAAAUUGCAGUUUACCCCCCCCCAUCUUCAUCAAUGAUCUCCUACUGAGCUUUUUAUUUUCCCUUACAUUUAUUUGUGUGAUUAUUUGAUUAACGUCUGUCUUCUCCACUAGACUGGUAAGGCAGGGGCCAUGUGCCUAACGUGGCGCCUACAACACGGUCUGUGCUCUGUGCUCAGGACGUAGUAAAUGAGCGCUCACCAUGCUCUUCUGAGCCCUACGGAACCGUGUUCAGUUGUAAGAGCUCCCUCCACUCCAGCCAUGGCCCAUGUCCACAUGUCCACGGAGGUGCAUUCCUUUCUCUGCCUUAGCCUUCUCUCCCAGCACUUGUUACUGUUUCCGUUCUUACUAGAGACCCACUAACCAUUUCUCAGGCUCCCCGGGGAAAAAGAAGGUUGGCUCUUUUUUCACUCCUUUUAGAACCUUCCAGAUGGUCCUCAUACCAUUCUUCAGGAAGCCCAUCAGAGAUUUUGCUCUCCCCCACUUCCCCAUGUUAGUGCCUUGGCUAGAGCCCUCCAGGCCCCUCCAGCAUUCCUGGAUGACUCCAAGCUGGGGUUCAAAGUCCCUCUUGCUUUCCACAACUCUCUUCUGCCACCUGCUUUGCCACUGACUUUGUAUGUGCAUCAUCACAUCAUCAUUUUCUUAUGCCAUAUUGUUAUAUAUCUGUGUCUGUUCCCCUAGGAGACUGUGAGCACAGCAAGAGCAGCUGUGGCUUGUUGCCCUAGCACCUGGUACAGUGCCGGGCACAAAGCAAGUGCUCAACAAAUGUCUGCUGAACAGAAUGGAGUGAACUCAUUUUUAGGACUUGAGGGAGUCACCUCCACUCGGAUUUAGACAUCAACACACUUAAUUGUGUUACUUCCCAAACCCUAAACUUGGAACCUCUCAUUCUUGGACCCCUGUCCCAUGCUCUCGGUCCUGCAAAACCCUAGCUUAGCCAAGGAGACUUUGAAUGCCAGUAACAGAAAUCUACUCAUACUACUCAUACUAAUGCAAAUUUUACUAGUGAGAGGAUUUGAGGCAACCCAAGAGCUCAACAGGGAGCCUUCUGGAAGGGCAGAGCCUUUAGCUAAAGAGUUCACGGGCCUUUAUUAACCCUGUGCUCUACCUUGAGUCUCUCUGACCCAGCGUGGCUCCCUCACAGGGCAGCUGUGGACCACUGGGGUCAUUGGUACCAUUGUGUCCUGGCUAUUCAAUCAGUAGGUGGCCCAAUUCCAAAGUCCAGGGAGAGGAAGCAGCAUUUAGAUCCCCCUCUUGGGGAAGGUGUCUAUCCUGUUCCAAUCAGUUAUGGCCACAAUGGAUAGGGACACUAAAUCGUGUGCUCCUCGAGCUCCUCCCUUCAAUUGCUCUGUGCAGAUCUCACCCAGCCAAUAAAGGAGCUUGAGUGCUAUUGACAAAGAGCUUCGGUGAGGGCCUGGCUAAUCCAUUCACACUGGAACCCCUUGCCUUUUCUUCCCUCCCACUUCCCUGAGCCACUGGCACCUACCUGCUUCUCAGUCCAGCAUGAGUCCCUUGGUUGGGGAUUACUGCUGUCAUUUGUCAGGCUGCCUGGGCAUGUGUUGUAAAUGCAUAGGCUCAAGUGUAUUAAGAGUCUGGUGUAGACGCCAGGUGGUGCACCAGCUGGUGAAGAGUUAGCUCUGCAGGUGCUGGGGGAGGGGGACAGAUCAGCGCGUGGGUGGGAUGGGAGGGAGGAGCACAGUCCCAGGCUUCUUCCCUAAGCAGACAGGUUGAGCAGGAGUCAGAAUAGGACUCCCGGGGAGUGGGGCACCUCAGGCAGCCAGCAGAAGCUUGGAUGGUGAGCCUAUGGGAAAUCAGGUUUGCAUCUCCCACAAGAGCUGUCAAAGGUCUCUUAUGCCCCCAGUUUGGCGGAAUCCCACAACCCUCAGGUCAGCCUGCUGGGUUUUUCCACGGAUACUGCCACUGCACACUGCUUCCUUUUCUAACACUUCUUCCCCUCACCAACAUCCCUGCGUGAGUCGUCCUGUUCUCUGGUUCCCCCAUCUCCUUAUCAGGUUUCUGAUCUCAGUUCUCUAUCUCAAGGAGGUAGCAUUGGGAAAGAGAUUAGGCUCUGGUGUGUGGCCUCUGUCGACUUAACUCUUCCUAAGCUCCCUUUCCUGGACUGUAAAAGGGGACUAUUAAAAGUCUCUGCUUCACAUGGGAUGUUAUGUGGAAUAAAUACAUUCAUGCCUGCAUGUAAAA